rnacentral:rRNA from 1 species
UACGUAGGGUGCGAGCGUUGUCCGGAAUUCCUGGGCGUAAAGAGCUCGUAGGUGGUUUGUCGCGUUGUUCGUGAAAACUCACAGCUCAACUGUGGGCGUGCGGGCGAUACGGGCAGACUGGAGUACUGCAGGGGAGACUGGAAUUCCUGGUGUAGCGGUGGAAUGCGCAGAUAUCAGGAGGAACACCGGUGGCGAAGGCGGGUCUCUGGGCAGUAACUGACGCUGAGGAGCGAAAGCGUGGGGAGCGAACAGG